rnacentral:lncRNA from 1 species
AAAACUUUGAUAAACCUGGGAACAAAUGAUAGGGUUCGAAUAACUCUGGAAUGAACCAAAAUGAACGCUAAUCAGUUGUUCUUGGCAAGAAAAAUCGACUAGCAUAGGUUUCGAGCCAACACGAGCUUGGAAAAGCCAACGAACGGUCAAAGAAGAGAAUAAACUCGAUCUUUUUAAUUUUUUGUUAGAUAUGGCUAUGAGAGAAUUUGAUAGAGGUUUUGGAAAAUAUGGUGAUAGCUUGAUGAUGAGGGAAGGUUGAUGAGUGUAGAGUAUCGAUUUGGAUGGGUUUUGAGGGAUUGAGGUAGCUUCCACCGGCUAAUGAGUUGAGAGGACUCUGGGGCGGCUAGAUUAGGUUUUUUAUGUGAGAGACGGAAAAGGAAAAUGGGGAGGGG